CGCAUCUGUGCAUGCAGCAUAUCAAUAAGCGGAGGAAAAGAAACUAACAAGGAUUCCCCUAGUAACGGCGAGUGAAGCGGGAAGAGCUCAAAUUUGAAAUCUUAAAGGGUUUCCCUUUACGAAUUGUAGUUUAAAGAAGUGUUUUCUGUUGAGGUUUUGGUAAAAGUUCUUUGGAAUAGGACAUCAUAGAGGGUGAGAAUCCCGUAUUUGACCUUUACUUUCAACUUUGUGAUACACUUUCAAAGAGUCGGAUUGUUUGGGAAUGCAGUCCAAAAUGGGUGGUAAAUUUCAUCUAAAGCUAAAUAUUGGCGAGAGACCGAUAGCGAACAAGUACCGUGAGGGAAAGAUGAAAAGAACUCUGAAAAGAGAGUUAAACAGUACGUGAAAUUGUCAAAAGGGAAGCGUUUGACACCAGUGUUGUUUUUCUGAAAAUCAAUUAAAGAACUGUUUAUGCUAAGCUUGUUUAGACUUUAUCAGCUAACUGUUUAGUUUUGAGCUUUUCUUUAAUGCACUUUUCAGUUAACAAGUCAACAUCAAUUUCUUUUGCUGUAAAAAGGCUUGAGGAAGGUGGCUUGAGAUUCGUCUUAAGUGUUUAUAGCCUCUUGCCUAUGCAGUCGGAGAGAUUGAGGUCUGCAGCGUAGAUCCUUCGGGGCUAAAUGCAUUUGUGCUAAGUUAUAGCAUUUUAUAGACAACUUGUUGACUAUGAUUUGUCUUGUAGCUUACUCGCUUAUGUUAUUUUACCUACGCUUAGGAUGUUGAGCGCAUGUCUCUCUCU
rnacentral:rRNA from 1 species